rnacentral:rRNA from 1 species
UACGUAGGGGGCUAGCGUUGUCCGGAUUUAUUGGGCGUAAAGAGCGUGUAGGCGGCCAGGUAGGUCUGCUGUGAAAACUCGAGGCUCAACCUCGAGACGUCGGCGGAAACCAUCUGGCUAGAGUCCGGAAGAGGAGAGUGGAAUUCCUGGUGUAGCGGUGAAAUGCGCAGAUAUCAGGAGGAACACCAAUUGCGAAGGCAGCUCGCUGGGACGUUACUGACGCUGAGGUGCGAAAGCGUGGGGAGCGAACAGG